GUAUAAAUGCAAUCAUACAAUAAGCAGCCUUUUGUAUCUGGCUUCUUUUGCUGAGCCAGAUACAAAAGGCUGCUUAUUGUAUGAUUGCAU
rnacentral:miRNA from 1 species